GUAGGUGAACCUGCGGAAGGAUCAUUAGUGAUUUGUUUGGUGGUGGUUUGUUUGUUUCGGGUCGAUUCUUUGGCGCGAGACAGGCUGCUGCUACUACUACUACUACUACCCACACUUGUGACUGAUAGACCUCCCCCUGUACCAACAACAACCAAAACCCAAACCAAAACAACCAACAAACCAACCCACAAGAAAAAGAACCAAAUCCAACAAACAAAUAGAGAAGAAAAACAACUCUAGGCAAUGGAUA
rnacentral:misc_RNA from 1 species